rnacentral:tRNA from 1 species
UCGGGAUAGCUCAGUUGGUAGAGCAGAGGACUGAAAAUCCUCGUGUCACAAGGUCCAAACA